AAGAAUGAGACCAUGGUUAAUAAAUGAGAGCCUUGUCUAAGCAACACUGAAAAGGCAGGCAAGAAAUACUACACACUUUUCUCUGUGGACGUUAAAGCAAUGCCACUAACAUCAUUUUGGAUAGAAUUCUCACUCCUGCUGUUUAGAAAGCAAAUGAGCAAAUGGUAUAAUUUCUUUCCCCGAUAUGAUUCAUCAGCGGUUGAUUCCUAAAACUGCAUGCUUCAAACAGCAAGCACGCAUAAGAUCCUGGAGUAGUCCCCCGAUUUCCAAUGCAGGAGUUGUUUGGUGGCAGAGCCCUGCAAGUGUCCAACAGCAAGCAUUCCAUGGAGCCGUGCACUGGCGUGGGGUGCCAGCAUCUGAUAAAGAAAACGAAGAUACUCUAACGAAGCAGGAAAAGUUCCUGGAUGAGGCAGAUCCAUCUCAAGGCUUUGGAUAAAAGGCUGAAGCAGGAGCAACUGGAUACCAGAACAUUAUAUAUGUGUGUGUGUAUAUAUAUAUAUAUAUAUAUAUAUAUAUAUAUAUAUAUAUAUAUAUAUAUAUACAUAUACAUAUAUAUAUAUACUUGCAUUAAUCCUUUUGCUUUUUCCUUACCCUUUUCUUCCCAUGUCACUGAAGUGGAAUAUCCCAUGUGCCACUGAACUCAGAGAACUCCACACCGGAAUGGGGGUGAGACUGGUGUUGUACCUCUGGCAUAGGAUAAGGAUGGCAGGCACGUAAUAUUACGAAAUGUAGGACAAAUUCAAGCGAAAGAGAGGGAGAGGGAGAGAGAGGGGGAGAGGGAGAGCUAGAGACAGAUGGCGGAUCUGGCCAGGAGCCAAAGCCAGUGAAAUGAAUUACAUUGCUGAAUAACUGUACACCAUUGAUUCUGCCACUUGUUGCUGCAUGGCAAAAAAAAAAAAAAAAAAAGCCCCAGUGUAUGUAUGCUGGAAUCUCUCUAUUUGUCAUGUGUGUAGCAGACAACUUUCACACACAGCUCAAUCCUGACAUGAUAUGCUCUGGGUGUCUUGGGUGGGGGUGUAGGUGUGGGAGAAGGUUGCAUGUACGUAUGUGUGCUCAAGAAAACAAAUGUGUGUGUGCACAUAGGCAAGUGGGAGAGAGGAAAAACAAUCUUUGCAAUCCAGCCAUUUUUGUUUAAUGAAGAAUGGAAGACUGGCAUUCAGAGAUGUGGUUACGUGUCGCAUAUUAAUGUGUGCUCACCAGACAUCCUCCCCCACUUUAAAAAUGAGUGGCACCCAGGGAAGCCCGCAUAGAUCAACCAUGUGGGAGAAGCAACUCCUAGGGAAACAGAUCAUCUCUAAACCUACAAAUGGGGCACAAGGAAUUCCUUAGAAGAACACAUUGCUCUCUGACAAGAAGAAAAGCUGGUCCCUGGGAUACUACGAUGUUUGGGUGUUUUCGAAAAGACAGCCAGUCUCAGCAGAUUGUUCAAUAAAUGCUUCAUACCCAGGAUGAAGGGAGACA
rnacentral:lncRNA from 1 species